CUGUAUUACAAUCAGACGACACUGGCCUCCCCAUGGCGCCCGGCGUGCAGCGGCUACAAGCAGCAGCCUCCUGGGCAGUGCAGCCUGUUGCAUGUGUAGCUGCCCUAAGGGGCCCUGGAGACAGCC
rnacentral:snoRNA from 1 species